UAGCGCCAUACAGACUUCAUAUGAAUCCAUAAUGAACUUUUUCACACUAUCUGUUGUUACCCAGAUGAGGAUGGGCUCCUUCUGAGUCGGGUUCCUCUCAAGGUUUCUUCCUCUUAAAACAUCUUAGGGAGUUUUUCUUUGCCACCGUCGCCACUCAGUGGCUUGCUCAGUUGGGAUAAAUUCGCACCUUUAAUAUCUGUAUACCAUGUUGAUAUUUCUGUAAAGCUGCUUUGAGACAAUGUCUAUUGUAAAAAGCGCUACACAAAUAAAUUGAAAUAAAAAGUCAAAAACUGCUAGAAAAAAACUCAGAACAUUUGCUUAGCCUAAUACUUUUUUUUCCAUCUACACAUAAUUAUUAUUGUAGCAGCUGCUUUUGCAAUAAAAAGGCUUAAAGUCGAGGCUCCCUGUAUCUAUGGAGAAAGAGGAGCAGUGCACCAUUGACAUCAUGCACAGAGGUAGCAUGAAGGUGUGACUGAGUUUUUAGAAAUUAUUUCCUAAUCUUAUGCUAAUAUGAAUACUACAAUAAUAAUAAUAAUAAUAAUAAUAAUAAGAAGAAGAAGAAGAAGAAGAAGAAGAAGAAGAAGAAGAAGAAGAAGAAGAAGAAAGGGUGAUUAAUAAAAUAAAAUAAAUAAAAUAGCAGCGCUGCGUGGUGUUCUGGAUGGAUCUUGACUGCCAUCGUGUGGUCAUGUUUAGGAAGUGCACCUUCCCCCAAACGUUGUUUAAAGCCGCAGAUUAUAAAUCUAUAUUCCUGCUGAGUGUGUGUUUAUGACCUGGAUGUUGAGUUGCUUUUACACUUUCUACAUAAGCAGCAUUUCUGGCCUCUGUGAGCCCCAGGUGAUGAUCUUUUAUUUUCAGAUUCUUACUGAGGUGCUGUUUUCCACAUGCAGUGCUUGGCUGUGUUGGAGGCCACCAAGAAAGACUUCCUGGCUGUCAUGUGGAAGCUAAGUGGGCUGGGGUCAAAAGGGUUUCUGGCCAUGGUGCUUGUGCUGCAGUGAUCUUGUUCUCAAUCACACUCCAACACAGGUAGCCAUCUUCACCCUCUCCCAAGAGGUGAUGGUACGACUCUGAAUAAACACUCGAUUAUUAUAAAUAAAGUGUGACUGUGUCUUGUAGUCCACCCACCAACCUUUUUCUGUUCAGUGGUUUGACUUGUGCUACACAGAGGUGAGUCCAGUUAUGCUGCAAGAAGUGUAAGUAUGAUGGGGUUGACGAGUAGGAGGAGAGGUUCUUCCUGUGCAAGGUGCUGCUCUCUCUUCUUUCAACAUAGCUCCUGGUCUCAGAACAGGUUUAGUUCAUCGUUGCUGGUGUUGUGUAGAGGAUGUUAUAUUGUGAAAGUCACAACUAUCCCCGCUCAAGGUCUUGUGAAAUAUUUGACCUUAUUUGUGACUAUAUUCACCAUGAUACUUUCAGCGGUUACUACAUUAGUGUCCUUAAUUUUUUACUAUUUAAAGAUUGUUUAAAAGUUUAUUACAGGCUCAAUGAAUGUUCUUCUCCUUCACUAGAAGAUAAAGGCCCGGUUUCGCAGACAGGGUUUACAUUAAGCCAGGAUUAGGCCUUCGAUCAAUUAGGACAUUUCAGUAGCUUUUAUAAACGUGUCUUUAGAAAAAAAUAUUUCUGGUGCACAUCCUGAGAUAAAACAAUGGCACUGACGUGUUUUAAGAUCCGUCCGUGCAAGUAGCUUUCAGUUAAAACAGCUCAAACAUACAUUUUAGUCUGGGACUAGGCUUAGGUCUUGUCUGUGAAACCAGGGGGAAAAAGAAGGGUGUGCUUUAUUAUGCUCUCUGCAGAAUAUGACAGAAGAAAUGUGACUCACACCUGUAACUAUAAAAAGCAGGUAGAACUGCAGUUAGCAUGAAACCUCAAAUGUGUAGCUGGGCUGGAAAUUUAUUUUUGUAUGCAUGUAUAAUAUUUUUUCUCUUACAGAUGGACCAGCAAACAGAUUUAAAGGCUGUUGUGAAUGAUGGGUUACAGAAAUGUCUUCCUGUGUUUAUUAUUAUUUGAAGUUAUAUAUUCUGAUUUGUAAGCAAGAUUAUGAAGUCUCCUUUUGCUAAUCAUUUUAGAGCAUUAUUAAAAAGUCCAUGUACACAAUGUU